AGAUAUUUAAUCUAAACAAAGAUAAUUGAUUUCGACUCAAUAAAUCAUGGUACUACCCCAUGAAUAUCUU
rnacentral:tRNA from 2 species